rnacentral:lncRNA from 1 species
UUGAUCGAGUCUUGAUAUUGGACUUAGAUUCAGCCCAAUAAAAGAUUGGAUCGGAUAGGCUUGGAUCUAUAAUCAAAUUUCUUGAUCCAAUGGAUUAUUCAGAUCGAAUCGGAUCCAUGUAUAAUCCGAUCUUAAUUCAUAAAAUAUAAAUCCGAUUCGGAUCUAGAUUGUAUCUGGAUCGGACCGAGUCAUACUACAAUCGUCCAUUCAAAACAUGCCCAAAAUCACA